CGCAUCUGUGCAUGCAGCAUAUCAAUAAGCGGAGGAAAAGAAACUAACAAGGAUUCCCUUAGUAACGGCGAGUGAAGCGGGAAGAGCUCAAAUUUGAAAUCUUCAAGGUUUUACCUUGACGAAUUGUAGUUUAAAGAAGUGUUUUCUGUUGAAGUUUUGGUAAAAGUUCUUUGGAAUAGGACAUCAUAGAGGGUGAGAAUCCCGUAUUUGACCAUUAUUUUCAGCUGUGUGAUACACUUUCAAAGAGUCGGAUUGUUUGGGAAUGCAGUCCAAAAUGGGUGGUAAAUUUCAUCUAAAGCUAAAUAUUGGCGAGAGACCGAUAGCGAACAAGUACCGUGAGGGAAAGAUGAAAAGAACUUUGAAAAGAGAGUUAAACAGUACGUGAAAUUGUCAAAAGGGAAGUGUUUGACACCAGUGUUGUUUUCUCGAAAAUCAAUUAAAAAGAGUUUAGAUUUUGUUGUGUAUUGACCUUAACAGCUUGCGUUUCAAUUUUCUUGCUUUUUUUAAUGCACUUUUCGUUUAACAAGUCAACAUCAGUUUCUUUUGUUGUAAAAAGGUCAUUGGAAGGUGGCUUUCUUUUCGGAGAAAGUGUUUAUAGCCUUUGACUCCUGCAAUCGGAGAGACUGAGGUCUGCAGCGUAGAUCCUUCGGGGUUAGAUACAUUUGUGCUAAGCUACUAGCUUUUUCAUAGACAACUUGUUGACUAUGAUUUAGUCUUGUAGCUUACCUCGCUUAUGCUAUUUUACCUACGCUUAGGAUGUUGACGCGCGUGUGUGCGUGAUCUAUACAUGACUCUGCGCAUAUCAAUAAGCGGAGGAAAAGGCUGCAGAACUGGACGACCGCUACCUACGCUUAGGAUGUUGACGCGCGUGUGUGCGUG
rnacentral:rRNA from 1 species